rnacentral:rRNA from 1 species
UACGUAGGGGGCAAGCGUUGUCCGGCUUUAUUGGGCGUAAAGAGCGUGUCGGCGGCCAUUCAGGUCAGCUGUGAAAACUCGAGGCUCAACCUCGAGACGUCGGUUGAAACCGUUUGGCUAGAGUCCGGAAGAGGAGAGUGGAAUUCCCGGUGUAGCGGUGAAAUGCGCAGAUAUCGGGAAGAACACCCGUGGCGAAGGCGGCUCUCUGGGACGGUACUGACGCUGAGGCGCGAAAGCGUGGGGAGCAAACAGG